AAAUAUCAACCUCUUUUUCGUUUUUUUUCCUUUCUUUUUCUGCAGUGACUUGGAUUCUUAUGCUGCCUUUGGGUCGCUGUCAAUCCCAUGAAAGGACCUUACCAAAAUUAAAUAAAGCAAAAAAAAGGGGGGAAAUUAAUACAUGGUUUUCAUCUAUAUGAGGAAAUAAAUAAAGAAAAAAUAAUUUACCUAAUAUUCUGUGAUUGUGUAUAUAUAUUGCAGUCAAUAGUUUCUUUAUAUUUUAGGAGAUAUUAUUAUAUAUAUUAUAAAAUGGGAGGAGGGGGUCUCCUGUGUUUUCUAUGCUUUUCUAUCUUUUCGUUGCUUUAAGUCUUUUCGUGUCCCUUCUCAAAAUUUAAGCUUUUGUGGCUUUGUCGAGAGAGGGUUCUUAUCCUUAAAGAUUUUUUGUGUAUGGAAGAAGAAUUAGGGUUUGCAAGGUCAGAAUCAGCAUCACCUUACAAGAGCAGAGUUCAAGAGGUCAGUUUUUUUAGUGAUUUCUAUUUGACCUUUUGAGGACUCUCUUUCUCAAUAAAACAGGUUUAUUUGCUUUGUAAUUAAAUUUUAGAUUAUAGAUUAUGGGUCUCUUUAGUUUUUUCAUGCAGGUGGUUGUCAUUUUUAUGUUAAAAUUUGUUGCAGCUAGCCUCCACUAAUUCAUGAUCUAACAUAUUCAGACCAAGUUCAUUCGGUUGAAUUUUGACUAUUAUUAUGAUAUAUUCUAAGGAAGCUCAUGCAAGUUUUUUUAUUGUUACUUUUUUUUCCUUUUGGGUCCUAUGAUUUUUUUAUAGUUAGGUUCACAUUCAAGACCAUGAACAGUUACAUUUUAUAGCAUUUCCAAGUCUUUCACAGUAUUAAUUACCUACUCUGAUAAUGCUUACAAUUUUUGGGUACCCGUAGCAUUUUUAACCUGAAGAUCUAUGAGCAAAAAAGUGGAGUACUGCAUUACCUAUGGAUUCAACUGGAUGCUUAAUCCUAUGUGAAUCGGUUUUCAUAUGUUUAUACUUGCACAAAAAAGGCAAGUGUAAACAUGGAUAUUGUUAUGGAUUUAUAGUCUUCGGCUCCUUUUAGAGUAUCUAGUAUUCAAAUGCUACAUGGGAAAAAAAUUAUACUUAUGAAAGUAUAUUCACAUGGAUAUUGAUAUGGAUAGUUGGUCACUCUUUAGAGUAUCUAGCAUUCAAAAACUUUUAAGUACAUGAAAAAAAUUAUACCUAUUAAAGUGUUAAAUCAGUAUUGCUUAAUGUAAAACAAAAACAAAUAUUUGAUUGGUCUAUACAUGUAAGAUUAACUUUAAUUUUCCUAUUAAAGUUUAGGGAUAAGCAAUAAUGUCCGGUUAUUAUUUAGAUCUGACCAAAGUUUUCUAUAAUAUGGUUCUCUGUAUAUUAGGUUCAACAUCCGUACAAUACCCAUAUCCAUGUUGCUUGUGCAUAAGAGAGAAACAAAUAAGGAUAGAGUAUGGUAUUUUUAGAUUUGGAUUUAAAUAUCUGUAAAAUUUACAAUUUGAGCUUCCUACCAAGAUAGCCAGUACCAGAAUCCCAUUUGUUGAUUCUUUUGCUAUAAUUAUUUACAAACCUUACGUUUUAAUAUUCUUUGAUAUAUAUGUUUUUGUUAAUAUGGAUGUUUUCUUUGCGUUUAUUUCUCACAAAGUAUGCUUGCUGGAGCUUGUUAAUUGUGCAGGGGAUGUUGAAGAAUGAGUUAGAGAGAGCUUCCUUCAGCCCACUCAUGGGUGGUUGCGGAUAUAGAAUUGGCUGCCGACUCAUUCAUUCAAACGCUCAGUGUAAAUGCCAGGGUAAAGUGACUUAGUGAAUGAGUGAAUGAAGCGGGAGCCAAUUCCAUCCUUUCUUCUCCAUGCUUGGACUGAAGGGAGCUCCCUCUUCUUCCAAAAUUAAAUCCACCUGUUUAUUUGUAUUCCAUGUAGGUAAUUUUGUUUAUAUAUAUAUUCAGUGCUUUUAUUUAUCAUCAACUAUUUUAAUCUUUUAAAAUACCUUAAGAUAAUCUCAUGAUUGGUUAGAUUAUUAUUUUUUUUGAGAGAAUAUACUGUUGGUUAUAAUAUAUAUUUUUUGGUUAUUUUUCGACGAUCCUCAAUGGAUGAUCGCAUACUAAUUUGAAUUUUAAAGAACAAACCCUAAUCUCAAACUAAGCAAUCCUGGUAUCAUCAACAGCACGUUACUGUUAAAGCCAUUAAAUUUAAAUUUUAUCUGAAAGUUAUGAACUUGAGAAAUAGUUUCUCCACUGUAAUUUCAUAACAGAAUGCCGGAGGGAAUUUGUAAAUGCAUUGCAGCUGCUUCAGUUUCUUUCUUUCUUGAUGUAUGCUCUCUGAAAAUGCAGCCAUGCUCUUUCUCGUGGCAAAAAGUGUCGUCGUUGGAAAUUGUACCAGUCUUACGGCAAACUAUGCACCAAAAUAUUGGCAGGUUUUUAAAGAAAGUUUGUUCGCAGAUGUAGCCCUAUUUAGACGUAUAAACAAAAAAAAAAAACUAAAAAAAAAAAACUGAAAAUUAUAUUAGAACGCCACAAAUCCUUAGUAACAUUCUCUUACUCUCUAAAUUUAAGCACUCUCUUUUCCUCCUUUUUGGAGUAUCUUUGUUGUUUAUUGUCUAAGCUAAAAUAUUCUCUCUCUCUCUCUCUCUCUCUCUCUCUCUCUCUCUCUCCCUCCUCGUGAGCUCCUUUGUUCUUUUUUUCGUUUGUGUCCUUUAUUUUUGUUUGGGUAGUUGUAAGUUUGAGAAAUGGAUUUUCUGAGAAAUGGAUUUUCUGAGGAUACGUGCAUUGACCUAUUUCUUAACGAAACAAAAUUGUUGAAAAUGAAUGAAAAUCUAAUUUUGAUUUUAAAUCUUAAAAUACUGGUAAACAUCCAAACAAGCCCCAAGUUAAAGCUUUCUAGCUUUGCUUUGUUGCUUGUCACUAAAUUUGCUUUGCUUUUUAAUGACAUUAUUUUUGGUAAAUCUUUUAUUGACAUCUAUUGGAACUUGUAGUUCAUAGUACAUUUCUUUCUAUGCUUUGCAAACUUAUUCCUUAUUCAUGGGAACUCUUCGAUAUUACGCCUGCAAAGUCUUUGGAAUGUAAUUAAUAAUUGCUUUCUGCAAAACACUGGCUUCCAUUUUUCAAGUUACAACUGGAAUUGGGCCAAGUGGCCGUUAGAAGAACAAGCGGUUCUCUCUCUUGGGCUUCCGAUGGGAAGUAGGGAGCUACUGUUUGCUCCCUAGACAAUUAAACUCGGGAAAAGUUUCACAAAAGAGUUUUUUUUUCUUUGGAUUACUUGCUUAUGCCCCUCUUAAUUCAUUGGUAUUUGCGAUAAUACUAUUCACAUUUUUGUAUUUACAAAGCUAUCUCUUAAAUCGUCAAUUAUUGUGAUUGCAAAUUUAGCUUAUCGAGUUGGUGAUGUUGUUUUGAUCGUACUUCAAUUUUUUUUAUAAAAUUGAUGAUUUGACGGCUACUUUAGCGAGUAGUGAGGCUUGGAGCUUUGUUUUGCAAGUAUUCUUGAUGCAAGGGUCAUAUAUGCAAAUAACUCUUAAUUUUUUUGCAUCGAGAGAACAGCUGACAUGACAAGUUCUCUGUGAUGUCUGUGGGUGGGAUUUAGAUUCUUUUGGGUAUUUGAUAAGUACGCUCUUUCUUUUUGGGAGUGCUAUGUAAUAGACUAAUAAUGUGCUUAACCUAAUGAAAUACAUGCUUAAUAUC